CUUUCAGGGAUGUUCUCUGGAUCUCAGAAUACAGAGGUCGCCCUGGGAAUGGUUCAUGUGCCGAUGACGAUUAGCUGAGUGCUGUCACUAGUUCCCUGGCCGGCCUCUGUCUAGCCCUGAUCCUACGCGGUCCUGCCGGCCAGGGAGCGCCAAGGCCUACGCAAGCGUGCUGCCGUGGGAACAUGCGGCGCCUAACGGCUGUGGACUGGCGGUGCAAAAGGGCAGAGAGGGUCCCUCUGUUCUCCCCCUCCUGCGGAUAGACUUGUCGCUAGCUGGGCCUACAGACCCCGGAAAACCGCCCCCCUCCCACUUCCACAACCAGAAAAAACAAGAACGAAAGGCAAAGUAAGAAACACCAACAGUACAGACAACAGCCCCGGUCUCGGCCGGCUCCCUCUACCUUGUAGGCAACCCGUGCUGGGCAUUUCUUCCCCAGGCCUAACGGCGGAGACAUUUGCCUGAGCAUCUCAUACAUAUCAGUAACAAUGCACGCUACCAAACCCACGGUGCCUAGCCAUGGCUAAAGAGCAAGCAAAAAGAAAAAACACAAGAUGUGCAGACUCCACGACAGCACUAGGGUAACAGGCACUGGAAUGCAGAUACCAGGAAACUUAUCGUGUCGGGGGUUGGUGGAGG